GCUGGGGAGCUGGUUCCUAGAGUGUGGGGGUGGCUCCCCUUCCUCUUCUUCCUAGAAAGAUGGGUUUCAGCUGUUUUCCCAAGACUCCUGAUAACCUCCCUAAGUAUAAUUUACAUUCCUUGCAGAAAACCCCACCCCCACCCCCAGCCCGAAACCCAGAGUUCUAGUGUGUGUUCUGCCGAUCUGUUUCCCUGAGCACUUUAUAGCCUUCUUUUUAAAACAUAAUAACAAGCUGAUGUGUAGUUCUGAGUGAGGGAAUGGACUAAGUGCUUUGUGCAGAUGACCUCGGGCUGCAUAUUCAGUAUGACAAGGACUGAUUCAUGGCUCAGCCACAGGAGUCGGACAUUGCCUCAUGCUGGUGGUGAGGCAUGGGACUUUUGUUAGGCCAAGUUUAGACGGGAGCUCCAAGGCACAAGGGACGACUGGGAAAACGGUGCUGGAAGAAAGAACUCUGAUCUUGCGUCUUCAUUGGCUGGCAGAUGCAUCAGUUGAGUGGCAAAGGACAUUUCUGUUGGGGUACACUAUACUUCUCAAUUCUGUAGUAUGUGGAAAGUGAACAUCACACUGAUAACCUAAUUCAGUUCUGAACAAUGGC